rnacentral:rRNA from 1 species
AGUGAACGCUGGCGGUAGGCCUAACACAUGCAAGUCGAACGGCAGCACAGUAAGAGCUUGCUCUUACGGGUGGCGAGUGGCGGACGGGUGAGGAAUACAUCGGAAUCUACUUUUUCGUGGGGGAUAACGUAGGGAAACUUACGCUAAUACCACAUACGACCUACGGGUGAAAGCAGGGGAUCUUCGGACCUUGCGCGACUGAAUGAGCCGAUGUCGGAUUAGCUAGUUGGCGGGGUAAAGGCCCACCAAGGCGACGAUCCGUAGCUGGUCUGAGAGGAUGAUCAGCCACACUGGAACUGAGACACGGUCCAGACUCCUACGGGAGGCAGCAGUGGGGAAUAUUGGACAAUGGGCGCAAGCCUGAUCCAGCCAUACCGCGUGGGUGAAGAAGGCCUUCGGGUUGUAAAGCCCUUUUGUUGGGAAAGAAAAGCAGCAGGUUAAUACCCCGCUGUUCUGACGGUACCCAAAGAAUAAGCACCGGCUAACUUCGUG